AUCCGUCGAUUUUUAAAAUCGUGAGGGUUCAAGUCCCUCUAUCCCCACAA
rnacentral:tRNA from 1 species